CACGUAGGGGACGAGCGUUGUCCGGAUUUAUUGGGCGUAAAGCGCUCGCAGGUGGUUCGUCGCGUCGUGCGUGAAAGACCCCGGCUCAACUGGGGGAGGUCGUGCGAUACGGGCGGACUGGAGGCCAGUAGGGGGAUGCGGAAUUCCGGGUGUAGUGGUGGAAUGCGUAGAGAUCCGGAGGAACACCAGCGGCGAAGGCGGCAUCCUGGACUGGUCCUGACACUCAGGAGCGAAAGCGUGGGGAGCGAUCCGG
rnacentral:rRNA from 1 species